UGGGGAAUAUUGGACAAUGGGCGAAAGCCUGAUCCAGCCAUGCCGCGUGUGUGAAGAAGGUCUUCGGAUUGUAAAGCACUUUAAGUUGGGAGGAAGGGCAGUAAGCGAAUACCUUGCUGUUUUGACGUUACCGACAGAAUAAGCACCGGCUAACUCUGUGCCAGCAGCCGCGGUAAUACAGAGGGUGCAAGCGUUAAUCGGAAUUACUGGGCGUAAAGCGCGCGUAGGUGGUUCGUUAAGUUGAAUGUGAAAGCCCCGGGCUCAACCUGAGAACUGCAUCCAAAACUGGCGAGCUAGAGUAGGGCAGAGGGUGAUGGAAUUUCCUGUGUAGCGGUGAAAUGCGUAGAUAUAGGGAGGAAAACCAGUGGCGAAGGCGACCACCUGGGCUCAUACUGACACUGAGGUGCGAAAGCGUGGGGAGCAAACAGG
rnacentral:rRNA from 1 species